rnacentral:rRNA from 1 species
GAUGAACGUUGGCGGCGUGCCUAACACAUGCAAGUCGAACGGAAAUAGCAAUAUUUGAGUGGCGCACGGGUGAGUAACACGUAGCUAAUCUACCUCAAAGCGCGGGAUAACGUGUCGAAAGACAGGCUAAUACCGCAUAAGCUCACGAUCUGCAGAGGGUUGUGAGAAAAGGCUUAGGUCACUUUGAGAUGAGGCUGCGGCCCAUCAGCUAGUUGGUGCGGUAAAAGCGCACCAAGGCGACGACGGGUAGGGGACCUGAGAGGGUGACCCCCCACACUGGGACUGAGACACGGCCCAGACUCCUACGGGAGGCAGCAGUGAGGAAUAUUGCACAAUGGGCGAAAGCCUGAUGCAGCGACGCCGCGUGGGUGAAGAAGGUUUUCGGAUCGUAAAACCCUUUUCUGUGUGACGAGAACGGACGGUAGCACAGGAAUAAGUCUCGGCUAACUACGUG